UUGAGAGUUGCAGGAAAUGGAUAUCAAAACAGAAGGAAAGAAAGAAAAAUAGUGCCAACUGCCAACCGCGCCAAUGGCAUCCUCUCUUUGAGAGAUUUUGUAAUUUCUUCUUCGAUCUUAGCGCCAGUUUCACCUUCGAUUUCUCAGUCACCACUUUCUUCUCUUCACAUUCCAAAUUCUCCCUAAAUCCCCUUCUUUCCAAUCCCCCGACUGAAAUCCCGUUUUCUUUUCCCUAUUCUCCGAUUCAGCUUCCGAGCUCCAAGGUUCCGAGUUUUUGAUCCGAUUCUUCGUAUUUCAUUUGGAAUUGGUUCUAGGGUUUUGAUCUGUCCAAUGGAUGAUGUGAAGGAUAAGGUCAAGGGCUUCAUGAAGAAGGUCAAUAAACCAUUUUCAUCGUCUUCUUCGGGCAAGUUCAAGGGCCAAGGCCGAGUCUUGGGUUCGUCUUCUUCUUCCGAGCCGGCCAAUCCGAUUCUAGCUCGGCCUUAUCUGACUCAUCCCGUUUCGAAGCCGAGUCAGCCCGCCAAGCCCUCGCCUCAGGAGCCACUCAAUUUGGAUCAUCAAGCGGCGAAUAGGCCUCCUGUUGUGAGUGAUCCGCACUGGAACUCAGAAACGGCAAAUGCGUUUGAUCCGUAUGGUUCUUUGAUCACUUCUGGGAAGAGAAACAAGAUGGGGUAUUCUCCGCAAGUGUUUGAAUGUCCGGUUUGUGGCCGGGCUUUCGGAUCUGAAGAAGAGGUGUCUGAUCAUGUUGACAGCUGUUUGAAUACUGCGCAAGCGGAUAAUGUCGAUGGUGAUGGAGAAUUGGUCGAAAAGGAUGGUGCUGCUGAGUCUAGAAGUGGAUUGGAGUCUUGUGUUGGUGUAUAUGUUUCUGGGAAGCCUUCAGAAGGCUCAGUUGAGAUUGUGAUCAAGUUACUGAGGAAUGUGGUAAAGGAACCGGAAAAUGCCAAGUUUCGGAGGGUUCGGAUGGGGAAUCCGAAGAUAAGGGAGGCCAUUGGUGAAGUUGCAGGAGGUGUGGAGUUGUUGGAAUGUGUUGGAUUUGGACUUCAAGAGGAAAAUGGGGAGAUGUGGGCAGUGAUGGAAGCUCCUUCCAACGAGGGAAUACUUUUAAUCAAGAAGGCAAUAUCAUUGUUGGAAUCACAAAAGGUUGAAAAAUCUGUUUCUGCAGCGCCAUCUAAGAGUGAUGAACCAGUUGAGCUGAGGAGGGUUGAAGAAUCGGUUUCUGCAGCCCCAUCUAAUAUUGAUGAAUCAGUUGAGCCAAGGAAGGUUGAUAGACAGGUUCGGGUAUUCUUCUCUGUCCCUGAAAGCAUAGCAGCUAAAAUUGAGCUGCCAGAAUCAUUUUAUAAUCUCUCACUUCAAGAGGUCAAAAGAGAAGCUGAUACGAGGAGGAAAAAGAUGGAAGAAUCGCAGCUUUUGAUUCCCAAGUCAUAUAAGGAGAAGCAGGCAAAAGCUGCAAGGAAGAGAUACACAAAAACUGUUAUCCGGGUUCAGUUUCCUGAUGGAGUGGUGCUUCAAGGUGUCUUCUCUCCUGGGGAGCCAACUACUGCUCUUUAUGAGGCCUAGCAAUGUUGUCCCAUUGCAAGAUCACACUCUACCCUAUUUUGUGACCCGAGAGAUCAAGUGCAAUUCAUCUGGAAGAUAUGUUUACUACAACAAAAUCGAGCAGUGCCUUUGAAGCACCAAUUAUAGCAACUGUUAACAGGGAGAACAAAAGCACUACUUCAACUAGAGAAUUGCAGAACAUCCAAGCAGCCUAUAAGCUAAAUGGUAAGAACUAUUUGAAGUGGUCUUAGCUGGUGCGUACAUUCCUGAAAGGAAAAGACAAGUUGAGCCAUUUACUCGAUACUAGACCCAAAAAAGAGGACUCUACAUUUGAAGCUUGGGAUGAAGAAGAUUUUAUGGUAAUGUCUUGGUUAUGGAAUUCAAUGCUUCCAAAGAUAAGUGAUAUUGUUAUGUUCUUAAGCACAACUCAAGAAAUUUGAGAUGCAAUCAAACAAAUUUAUUCUAAAUUUCGAGAUGCAGGCCAAAUCUAUGAGAUUAAAACAAAAAUCUCAGCAACCAAGCAAGGAAACCGAUCAAUCACUGAAUACUCCAAUAUCAUGCAAACUUUGUGGCAGGAAAUGGAUCACCACCAAUGUAUCAAGAUGACCUGUUGUGAGAAUGCAGCUCUUUUAAAAAGGUUUGUUGAUAAAGGCAGGAUUUAUGAAUUUCUUGUUGGUCUAAACAUUGAGUUUGAUGCAGUUAGGGUACAAAUACUUGGGAAAGAGGACUUGCCAUCCCUAAAUGAGACUCUAGCUAUUGUUCAUGCUGAGGACGGAAGGAGAGGAGUCAUGCUUGAGACUCCUAUGGUGGAAAACUUAGCACUAAUGACAAGAAGAAUGCCCAUUCAACAUUCCAGUUCUGAACACCAAGAGGGUGAGGCUAAAAGAACACCAAACGGGUCUCGGUCAAACAAGGAUCUAUUGUAGUGUACAUAUUGUAAGAAGCCUAGAAAUACUAUAGACAAAUGCUGGAAGCUACAUGGAAAACCACAAGCUGAGAAUAAAAGGACUUCAGGUAAGCAGAAGAGGCAGGAGUAGGCCUAUGUGGCAAACACUCAACAGUCUGGAGAAAUGGAUUCUUCAUAAUUACUGACAACUGAGUUCAACAAGGAAGAAAUUACGAAACUGAGACAACUAAUUGGAUCUUUAGAGAAACAACUGGAUCAGUUUGUGAGCUCAGCACUGAAAGAACCGAGUUUGGAGUUUGAGCUAUUACAUCCAGUGGCCAUCAAAAGGCGGGCGAUCCCACAUUUUCCUGCAGCGGGAGGGAGAGCUGUAACACUCGAAGAGGAGGAUCUGGUUCCUGCAGCUC